rnacentral:rRNA from 1 species
CCUACGGGAGGCUGCAGUCGAGAAUCAUUCACAAUGGGGGAAACCCUGAUGGUGCGACGCCGCGUGGGGGAAUGAAGGUCUUCGGAUUGUAAACCCCUGUCAUGGGGGAGCAAAGUAAAAAGAUAGUACAACAAGAGGAAGAGACGGCGCACUCUGGGCCAGCAGCCGCGGUAAGACAGAGGUCGCAAGCGUUGUUCGGAAUCACGGGGCGUAAAGCGUGCGUAGGCUGUUUGGUAAGUCGUGUGUGAAAGGCGCGGGCUCAACCCGCGGACGGCACAUGAUACUCCGAGACCCGAGUACUGGAGGGGGCACCGGAAUUCUCGGUGUCGCCGU